rnacentral:lncRNA from 1 species
AUGAUGAAACAGAUAGUGAAUGAAAGCAUCCCAAGUGUCUUGACUCUUAGACAGAAAUCAAUAUUUCUAGGCCAAUUUUUCUAAUUACAAAGUAGCUUUCGAAUAUACCAUUGGCGAGCGAGAAAAAGAGAGGCGCAAUCGAGUCAGAGAACAAUUCAAGAGAGAGAGCGCGACAGUUCGUGCAUGAAACAGAACAAUUAAGAGAGAGAUAGAGAAAAACCUGAUCAAGCUAGGGACAGAAAGCCGCUGUCGCUGAUCAAUUUUGGAACUAUGCCGAGACUUCCUACUCGGCACGAACCCGAACCUCUGUAUCUCGAGCUCCGGAAGGGUGUGAUCCGCAACGAAGGCGUCGGAUUGAUUAAGCGAGUGAGCGUCCGAAGGAGGGAUAGAGAGGUCAGAAUCCGCGACCCAAACGGAUGCAAAUAGAGAACAGAAAUUGAAAACCCUAACAGAUCGAGGAGGAUGGAAAGAGAGCUCACCGAUCGAGCAAAAAAUCCAGAGAGAAGAAAUCGGUCAAGAGUCGCUAUCGUCACCGCCAGUCCGCUUCAGAUCUGAACCUCUUCCCACCAACACAAUCUCCGUCGAUGUUGCAGAUAUUACUGAUCAGAUCCAACGAGUCGAAUCCGAAGAGUAGAGAAUCAAGAGAGGGAGGUCCGAGAGAAGAAACUCCAGCCGAUCGAAGAGAUUCGGCCUCCGAUCUUCGCUCCCUCGCCAAUGGAGGAAAAACCCUAGCCGAUCGAACCGUAGAGAGAGAGAGAACACUCCAUCCAGAGAGAGUCCCCCGAAGAGAGUCUCCUUCGAGGAGAGAGAGCAAAAAACCGAUCCCCAGGCCUCCUUAGCUCCGUGCUACAUCUAUGGCGAUCACCCAGCGGCAGCGAUGGAGAGCGGGGCGACGGAGACGGAGAUGAAGCCGCGGGUCCGGCCGUGGAGAAGCGGGGAGCUACCGGAAAAACCCCUUCGACAACCGACAACCACCUCCGUGAAACCAGAAAAAAAAAUCUUCCCCGAGCGUCCUCUGAGGAGAGAGAGCCAGAGAUCCCCCGAAGAGAGAGAGAGCCCGUGGAGAGAGAGAGAGC